rnacentral:rRNA from 1 species
UGCCAGCCGCCGCGGUAAUACGGAGGGUGCAAGCGUUGUUCGGAUUUAUUGGGCGUAAAGCGCGUGUAGGCGGACUUUUAAGUCAGGUGUGAAAUCUCGGGGCUUAACCCCGAAACUGCGCCUGAAACUGGAAGUCUAGAAUAUCUGAGAGGGAUGGGGAAUUUCGCAUGUAGGAGUAAAAUCCGUAGAGAUGCGAAGGAACACCAGAGGCGAAGGCGCCAUCCUGGACGAUAAUUGACGCUGAGACGCGAAAGCGUGGGGAGCAAACAGGAUUAGAUA